UAUCCCCACAGGCAAAUCACUUAACCUCUCUGAGCAUUCAUUUUCUUAUCUAUAAAAUGGGAGAUAACAAAACCUACUUUAAGAAUUAGAUUUAAUUAAACUUAUAGAAGUUCCUAGCAAGUUUGGCAUAUGCUAGGUACUCAAUAAAUAAUAAUAGCUAACUCUUUUACCUAUGCAGGGUCAGGAUCAUCCAUAUCACUGCCUUCUACCUCUACAUCUUGUCCCACUGGAAGGUCUUCACGGGCAAUAACAUGCAUGGAGCAGUCAUCUCCUAUGACAACAAUGCCUUCUUCUGUAUCCGCUUAGGCUGUUAUUUUUUACAAGUAGAAAGAAUACACCCUAAAUAAUGAUAAUAACUAUAGUAUAGUAAAUACAUAAACCAGUAACAUAGCCUUUUAUUAUUGCUAUCAAGAAUUAUGUAUUGUACAUAAUUUGGUGUGUAAUACUUUUAUAUGACUGGCAAUGCAAUAGGUUUGCUUACACCUGAAUCACCACAAACAUUUAAGUAAUAUGAUGACUGCAAUGUCACUAGGCAUUAGGGAUUUUCCAUUAUUGUGCAUACCUGUGGUUCAUUCAUUCUCAUUGCUAUACAGUAUAACUAAGUUGUACACAUACACCACAAUUUAUUCAUCCAUUCUACUGUUGAUGGGCAUUUGGGAAGUACCUAGUUUGCAUUUUAAAAAAAAAAAAAAACUAAGCAGAAAGUGUACAGUUGAAGAAAACUGGAUGUCAGUCUACAAUGAUUUACUUUUGGCAUGACAGACUUUAUUUUGGCACUUUCACAAAUAUUUUGCUUUACAGCAGUGACAAAAUAUUUGCCAGAAAUUUUUCUUUUCCUGGCACGGAUAUUCCAACCAGUUGUUAUUCUUUGAAUUGAAUUUCACUCUUGCUUCGCACAGUUAAGAGGUAUACCCGUUCCUACCCUCUGUUACUGAGGGACACUGUGUGGCUUUAGAAGGCGCUAUCGUUUCCUUUAGUCACUCUAAAGUGAAUUGAUUCUAUAAGUGAUGGGGCAGGAAUUUGAGAAUUAAUUAAGGCCAUUAGGACUUAAGUAAACACUGUUCCAAGUGUUGCUUAAAAAAAAUUGUUUUUAAUGAAUUCUGUGGCAAUUCCAGGGAAUGUUCUCCAAAUAAAGUAUUCAUACUUUAUUAAAAGUAAAUUGUACGUUGGAAAAGUUGCUGUUUUUACUGUCUUCUUCCUUCUUGGAUGGCUCCCAAUUUAAAACAAAAUUAAUAAUAAAAUAGAAAAAGGAAAUGUUUAGUACAGAAAGUACCAGCCAGGGUACCCUCAUACCUCCAUCUCCUUCCCCAGGCAUCACUCUUUUCAACCAUUUCAAUCCUAAAGCAGUGAGGCCCUCAUUUUAACACACAGAGCCUCCCUGCCUAUCUUCCUUCCCUGUAAGGUGAGCUACUAUAGUCCAUUUAUAAGUUCUUUAGUUAAGCUUCAGUAGACAUUUGGAGCACAAUUUCAUAGGUAAGUCAAUCUAUACGCCUAAGCUUUAGAUACCAACAUCAGGAAAGCCCCCUUCAGAUCUUUGGAAUUUAUAGUCUUAAAAGUUCUUUGCAAAAGCAGGCGUCUGUCUUAAUGUUGCCAACAGCUAUUCUAUAAAGGUUGCAAACUUCAAAAUUCCCUGGCAGCUUUCCAAUAUCUCUACCUAGACAUACACAGGAUAAUACAUUCAGAUUUCCUCUAGCCAAUUCAGAAGUGAAUCUGGUAACGAAGAGUCUCAUCAACAGGCUCUUUGGUGUUAAUUUACAGACACUGUGGAACACUUAGAAAUCAAACCCACGUCAUCCUUGAGAGCAGACGGCUGUUACAAAGGGGAGAUGUACAUUUGAUCAAAAAUGCACAAAAUUUAUAACAGUGACAUUUUCAAUAUUAGGCCACAUGAUUUAUUCAGUAGUUUUGAUGUUCCCAAAUUACAAUUUAUGUCUAUUCAUAAGACUACAAAAGUUACCAUUAGAAUUGUCUGUGCUUAUAAAAUACCAACUUUUUUUAAACUGUUAUAUAUACUCAUUAACACCAGUCUGCAACAGGUUACAUAGAAUCAGAGGCACUUCAAAGGCUUAAAAAGACGUUUACAACUUAAAUGCAUUUUUAAGAACAAAAAUUUGAUUUUUCUUUAAACCUCUACUCAUACCUUCAAAUUGCAAGAAAUUAACAAAUACAGUGGCCAAAGGAAUCUGCAGCAACUUCUUAAAACACUGUUAGCAUCUUUGGGUUUGCUGAGGCUUGUCAGUAACUUACAUCAAAUCCUCCCAAAAGAAGAUCUGAUUAGACAGAUACGACUAAACAGUUUUGUAGUAAGAAUCCAAUUUUACACAUUAAUUUGCUGUUGCAAAUCUGCCCAAAGCUACAGAUAAUAAAAAAUAAAGCAAGUGUAAAAUGGAUAGUCUGACACUUAAAAAUUUAUACAAAGCAGAAGUUAAAGUUUACAUAUUUGAAAAUCACAUAUACACUAGAUUACCAUUAUCGGAAUUUUCCAAAGACAAAUUGCACCAUGACAGCUACAAAAGGCAUAAGGUUUGGUUUUAAGGGCACAAGAAGGGAGGGCAGAGGAGAGGAGGGUGACAACAGAUAAAUUAACAAAGUAAGACCAACUUGAUAAGGUCAAUCUGAGACAUGCUGACACAAAUGAAACAGCUUUCAUCUUUGCGUCAUAGGAAAAAGACAAUCAUUUUGUAUUUGCGCAUAAAAGUUUAAACCAAUUCCAUGAACAUCGAGGGUUUUCAUAACAUAUUUUGCCACUGCUAUUCACAGAACACUGCAGAUGUUAAAUUUUAAUUUUAUGAUGUUCUAAAGAAAUACAUGAAAAGUUUUAAAUACAAUGGGAUUUUAUCAUUAAAGUGCCAGAGUGGCUCUUUAAUGAAAAAAAAAAAAACAAAAAACAAAAAACAAAGAUCUUCGUUAUUCUAUGCAAAAGCUUUAUUUUGAAAAGUUCAGUGAUCUCAUAAAU
rnacentral:lncRNA from 1 species